rnacentral:rRNA from 1 species
GGUUUGACGGUACCUUUAAAGGAAGCACCGGCUAACUCCGUGCCAGCAGCCGCGGUAAUACGGGGGGUGCAAGCGUUGUUCGGAAUUAUUGGGCGUAAAGCGCGUGUAGGCGGUCUGAUUAGUCUGAUGUGAAAGCCCUGGGCUCAACCCAGGAAGUGCAUCGGAUACCGUCAGACUUGAAUACGGGAGAGGGUAGUGGAAUUCCUAGUGUAGGAGUGAAAUCCGUAGAUAUUAGGAGGAACACCGGUGGCGAAGGCGGCUACCUGGACCAAUAUUGACGCUGAGACGCGAAAGCGUGGGUAGCAAACAGGAUUAGAUACCCUGGUAGUCCACGCCGUAAACGAUGAGAACUAGGUGUCGCGGGUA